GCUGAUAUGGCUCAGUUGGUAGAGCGCACCCUUGGUAAGGGUGAGGUCCCCAGUUCGCCUCUGGGUAUCAGCACCC
rnacentral:tRNA from 1 species